rnacentral:misc_RNA from 1 species
GAUGAAGAACGCAGCGAAAUGCGAUAAUUGAUGUGAAUUGCAGAAUUCCGUGAAUCAUCGAAUCUUUGAACGCACAUUGCGCCCGCCAGUAUUCUGGCGGGCAUGCCUGUCUGAGCGUCAUUUCAACCCUCAAGCAACUUCUGCUUGGUGUUGGGGAUCGGCCGUCAAACGCCGCCCCCGAAAUCUAUUGGCGAUCUCGCUGUAGCUUCCUAUGCGUAGUAGUAACAUCUCGCAUCUGGAGAGCGGCGCGGUCAUGCCGUAAAACACCCAACUUCUCAGGUUGACCUCAGAUCAGGUAGGAAUACCCGCUGAACUUAAGCAUAUCAAUAAGCAGAGGA